rnacentral:lncRNA from 1 species
UGUCUCUACACUAAAAGUUUGCUCAGUAUAAUUUUAAAACUAAGAAUGAAGCAUCAUCAAUGUACCUAAGGAAGGAUGAACCACCACAGUACCUUA